GACGGAGGGGGCUAGCGUUGUUCGGAAUUACUGGGCGUAAAGCGCGCGUAGGCGGCGCAUUAAGUCAGAGGUGAAAGCCCGGGGCUCAACCCCGGAAUUGCCUUUGAGACUGGUGUGCUUGAGUACGGAAGAGGUGAGUGGAAUUCCAGUGUAGAGGUGAAAUUCGUAGAUAUUGGGAAGAACACCAGUGGCGAAAGGCGGCUCACUGGUCCGUAACUGACGCUGAGGUGACGAAAGCGUGGGGAGCAAAACAGGAUUGAGAUACCCGGCGUAAGUC
rnacentral:rRNA from 1 species